GCAGGGGGCAAGCGUUAUCCGGAAUUACUGGGUGUAAAGGGAGCGUAGGCGGCAUGGUAAGCCAGAUGUGAAAGCCUUGGGCUUAACCCGAGGAUUGCAUUUGGAACUAUCAAGCUAGAGUACAGGAGAGGAAAGCGGAAUUCCUAGUGUAGCGGUGAAAUGCGUAGAUAUUAGGAAGAACACCAGUGGCGAAGGCGGCUUUCUGGACUGAAACUGACGCUGAGGCUCGAAAGCGUGGGGAGCAAACAGGAUUAGAUACCCUGGUAGUCCACGCCGUAAACGAUGGAUACUAGGUGUAGGAGGUAUCGACCCCUUCUGUGCCGGAGUUAACGCAAUAAGUAUCCCGCCUGGGAAGU
rnacentral:rRNA from 1 species